rnacentral:rRNA from 1 species
CAUUUUGAACCGCAUGGUUCGAAAUUGAAAGGCGGCUUCGGCUGUCACUUAUGGAUGGACCCGCGUCGCAUUAGCUAGUUGGUGAGGUAACGGCUCACCAAGGCAACGAUGCGUAGCCGACCUGAGAGGGUGAUCGGCCUUUAACACUGGGACUGAGACACGGCCCAGACUCCUACGGGAGUGCAGCAGUAGGGAAUCUUCCGCAAUGGACGAAAGUCUGACGGAGCAACGCCGCGUGAGUGAUGAAGGCUUUCGGGUCGUAAAACUCUGUUGUUAGGGAAGAACAAGUGCUAGUUGAAUAAGCUGGCACCUUGACGGUACCUAACCAGAAAGCCACGGCUAACUACGUGCCAGCAGCCGCGGUAAUACGUAGGUGGCAAGCGUUAUCCGGAAUUAUUGGGCGUAAAGCGCGCGCAGGUGGUUUCUUAAGUCUGAUGUGAAAGCCCACGGCUCAACCGUGGAGGGUCAUUGGAAACUGGGAGACUUGAGUGCAGAAGAGGAAAGUGGAAUUCCAUGUGUAGCGGUGAAAUGCGUAGAGAUAUGGAGGAACACCAGUGGCGAAAGCGACUUUCUGGUCUGUAACUGACACU